rnacentral:lncRNA from 1 species
GCUGGGACUACAGGUGUUCACCACCACACCUGGCUAAUUUUUUAAAAUUAUUUUUAGUAGAGAUGAGCUUUCUCUAUAUUGCUCAGGCUGGUCUCAAACUCCUGGGCUCAAGCAAUCCUCCUACCUUGGCCUCCCAAAGUGCUGAGAUUACAGGUGUAAGCCCUUGCACCUGGCCCAGAAACUAUAUUCUUAGAAGUUACUGGAAUGUAAGCUUUCGAAGGGGAGUGGUGAGUCUCUCAGACACUUUAAGUCGGCGCCACAAAUUGUGUAAGAACUGACCUGGCGGCCUGCCUGGGCCACGUGACAGCCAUAUCUGAUAAUUUUGGCAAGGCGAAGUGGGGUGGUGAGGGGCCAGGACCCAGGAGGCAGAGAAUGGGGCAAGGAAGGGGACAACAAAACCCUGAAGGAAGAAAGAACACUCAAAGUAACUGUAAAUUAAACAAGGCAGACUGGAGCUCAAUAUAAGCUUCAAAGUCCAUUUCUUGACUGUGAUAUUCAUAUAUGUGUAUUCAAUUGUCUGCACAGACAACUACAACUACAAUGAUUUUACAGGUAUAAUUACAAGUAUAAUGCCAGCUGGCUACAUCUCACUAACAAUAAAGGGACAAUUAGAGCCUUAAUCUGGCUAAUAAUGCAUACCAAAAGCCUGGCUUCUGGGGGGCAGAGGGGAAGAAUUUUCUCUAUCUCAUUUCUAAGCCCAGAACUCUUCUUGGUUCCAAGGCAAAUGUGCAGCUUUGCUUAGAAUUGAUGGCUCACUGGUUUGAAACUGUGCCAGGUUCUUCGUACUUUAUAUGUAUUUUAAUUUCCUGGUAUUCUUUGGUACUGUGUCAUUUCACUAAGGGGACUCUGCCAUAUUUUCAAAUAGUUCAAUAAAGGGCAGGUCAUUGUGCUGACUGGUUGGAAUUCCAGUGUUCACAUCUGAUCCUCUCCAUGCAGCCAGGGUCAGGAGAAGCAGAA